AUUUCUCUCUCUCUCUCUUGCGGGCAGAGAGAAGAAACCCACGCGCGCACGCAGUGAUGUCUUACCAGUGAUAAUUGGCCCAGGGGUCGGAGUCUGACGGGAACAGAAAGUUUUGAGGGAGUUUACUGCCGAUGCAAGGUGACUGGCUGGAUAAAGAAGUCCAAAGUUAUUUUUUUAUCUGUAGAACAAAUAAAGCCUGGCCAAAGAGGGUGAUGUUUGGCGGGACUGAAUAUUUGUUGAAGGAACGAAGACAUUAAUUAAUAAAGAGAAGGCCCACUUGGUAAAGGACUUGCCAGGCUUGUGUGAGAUCCUGCCUUUGGAUCCCCAGAAUGUGUGUGAAAAGCCAUGCACUAGAGUGCCUUCUAUAAUCCCAAUGCUCUUACAGAGAGAGAGGCUGAGACAGUAGAAUCCCCAGAAGCUCUUGGGCCAGACUGCCUGUGGCACCCAGUGGGAUCAACAAGAGACCUCAUCUCAGACAAGGUGGAAGAGUAAGGGCCAAGAUGAUGACAGCUGCCCCUGUGGCUAGGCACUGGGCCAUUAAACUGUUAUGCAAGAAAUAGGCAUGGACUAUGGGAAGCAGGCGUGAGAUAACCCCCGUCUCUGGUCAAGAAUGACAGCAACAGUUGGGACUUCUGCAGAAAACAGCAACUAAACAACACCCUCGAGUCCCUUCCAAGCCCAAGAGGCAACAGGAUAUAAAAUGCAUUAAAUUAAGCUAAAGACGCCAAGAAACCUGCCCUUGGAAGAUGUGUUAUUGGGAAUUUUUUAAAAUCAAAACUUACUAACUAAUCUAUCUCAUGAAAAGUAAUAUUUUGUGUCCAGAAUAUAUUUAUAGAAAUAAAACAGAAUUAACCCAGAUCAAAAACAGCCUUGUUCUAAGAAUUCUUAACACAGUGAUAAAACAAAGAAAGAGGAAAUUAACAAUGUGUUGAAAAUGGAAUAUAAUAAUUCUGAGCCAACAACUUUAAUGAAGAAAAGACCAAUUAUGUACAUUUGACUUGAGAUGUUAAAUAUUUGUAAAUUUAUUUGAACUGAAACUUUAUGCUUCGACUCUCAAGUUUAAAGCUCAGGAAAUAUGAAUUUAUUUGUUUUUAAAGACUUCUGAGGUGAACACAGAAAGUUGAGAGAUUCAUGUUGUUUCUUUGUUGUUCCAUCGAGUCUGUGUUUGUGUUUUGUUUUGUUUGCAGGAGUGUAUAGUCUACUAUGUGUUAGAUAUAUCAUAGUCUUGAUAAAAUUGAAGACAAGGAGCAUGUGUUAUGUUUUGGGGAUGUGGUAAGAAAGAAUUGCAGAAGGGGAAAAUUUUUCCAGAUAUAUUCCUUGUCCCUCACCAGGCCCCAACUGCCUUUCUUCUUUCUAGUGUCCUGUGUUCUCUUGUCCUUCCCAAUUGUCCAACAGCUCUUUCUUCUCCUGUGGCCUCUUGUCUUGUUCUCUAGCCUGUAUCUACACUCAUACACUCUAUACUGUUCAACUGACAUGAAAUUUCUGAUUUUGCUAUGUUCAAAUGAUCAAGUCAGAAAGAGAAUCAGGUGGGAGAGACGGCUCAGUGAUGAAGAGUACUUCCUGUUCUUCCAGAGGACCUGAGUUUGGUUUCCAGCUUGCAUGUUGGGUGGCUCACACAAACCAGUAACUCUAGCUCCAGAAAAUCCAAUACCUCUAGCUUCCAUGAGUGUCUCACUCACAUACACACGCACACACAUGUACACACUCACACAUGUAAUUAAAAAACACACU